AUAAAGUAGAAUCUAAUUUUAAAUAUUUUUUGAUCUUUUCUUCAAGUCAUUCAGACAUCAAAAACAAUAAACCUAUUUUGGGAAGUGUUAUGUUUCUUCCCCAAAUUUCCGUUUUUAUUUCUCUCGCUGCUCCGACGUGCUUCAAUCUCAAAGCUGCCCAGUGGUAUGCUCAAGAUAAGGAAUAUCCUCCUCUUUAUCUCCUAUUUUCCUUGUAUAAGUGGGUUGAGUUAAUAUCUAAUACCACCACUUAAUGUAAAGAAUCAAUUUGAUAAAGAAGGGGCUUUUUCAUGUAAUAGUAUUUUCUAUGGAUCAGGGAUGCUACAACAUAUUUGAUUGGUAAUUUAGAUCGAAGGUUCUGUCUGUUUGAAUGUUCAAACCAUGGACACCCCAUAUCUCACUGGGUGCAUAGUGGAACAUCCGUGGAAGUCUCUUCCAACAGGCGAGUUUUGAUGGCUUUAAUAGCCCUUGGUGAGAGAUUAGCAUCUCUCAAACCUUUAGAUUCCCUUUGUACAUCUUCUAGUUGUGCAACUGUCUCUAUAUUAGCUACAUUAUGAGUCACAAUAUUAUGGAGAACAAUAUUUGGUGAUUCUAUGCCAUAGUUCCAACUUGCUGAAUCAUCAACGCUUAAAGGAGCAUCCAUUAAAACCAAAGCUUUAUCCUUAUCAACAGGUGGGCUGCUGGAUAUAUCUUCAUUAGAAAUGGUAUUUCUACUGAAACUGGUUCACUACUCUGCUGCGGCUGGCAUUUAAAGGAAUUAGUCACCCAUUCUUUUGUGGAUUGUUUCCUACUCUCUUCCCCAUGUUGAUUUUUUGAUGCUUCUUUAAUAGGUGAUUUGUUAAUUACAUGUACUAUCCCUUGUUGUUCUUUAUUUUCCUCUGUUAGCACAACAAAUGAAUUUUGAUUACUUAUAUCUUUUCUAGGUGAGAUAGCCUUCUCACUUCUAUAUCCUUUAUUAACAAAUCUUCGUCUA